UUGACUCACCCCUGUGUAAGGGCUGUAGGUGUGUUACAACAGUGGGAACUGCCACUGCCUGACUCAUUAAUCCCUGUUGUCCUGGGGUAGGUGUGUAACAACAACGGGAACUGCCACUGCAACGCGGGAUGGGCCCCUCCGUUCUGCAACCAGUCCGGCUACGGGGGCAGCGUUGACAGCGGUCCUGCUCACACAGACACAUCACUUCGGGAUGGGCUGCUCAUCUUCUUCUUCCUCGUGCUGCCGGUGGCCAUUGUUGCUGCGUUAGCAAUAAUUAAGCGGGAUGCAAUAAGGAGAAAACUUUGCAGGAAGAGCAGAAGACAGCACAGGGAUAACAAUGUGCAGGAAGCAAAGCAAGAUAACAAACCAAGUCAUGAUGCAAGAAAUGAUCAGCCUGCCACGUCAAGCCCUGAUAUUUUUACCAUAUUGCAUUUUCCUGGUACAAGGCACCCCGUACAAACCCAGGUUCCUGCAGCUCCCUCAGGACCUCAACGACCCCCAGUCCCACCUAGACCAGCUGUCUGAAAAGCUUCUUGGCGACCCUCAACCAAUUCUGACAAGUAACUGGCCUGAAAAAAAAAACCCCAAAUUACAAGAUUUCAAUCCUCCAGUCCUCUCCUCGUGUGGCCAAAAUGCCCUUGGGAAGCAGGUACCUCUGGGAAAGACUGGAUACCAAGAGGCACUGAACGCAGAUUUGGUGACUCCCAGUGUUUUGCUGCUUGCUGCUGGCUGUGUUUGUGCCUCCUCUACCUCACCUCCUGGUUUUUUUAAAUCAGAAGCCUGAAGUUCAACGCUCGUAGGAUUACACUUGUGACAGUGCGUGAGUCUGAGGUGCGGGCCAAGGAGAAGUGAAUUCAUUUAUCUACAGACAUGAUUUAUU